AUAGAAGAAAGCGGGGACCCAAGGACAAGCGAGGUAAAUCAGGUGACUACAUUUUCCCUAGAAUUUCUUAUAGGAAAUUUCCUCCUCCUGUUACGAUUUGCCAUAUACCGACCUAAGCAAGUACCCAGUAAAUUGCAUUAGUAAAUUUCCACCAAUUAACUCGAUCGUAAUUUGCAACGCGGAAAAUUAGUGGAACUAUGUACUGUACAGUGAAAGUAAUUGUCUCAUGUUUAUAAGGAUAUACUCGGAAAACUAAUGUCUCGAGCUAUCCGUCGUACUUGAGUGGUUCUCCACCAAGACCGACCCUAUCAUAACUGUUUAUGUGACCAACGUUGCAAGCUCGAUCGGUGUUACUGUGGUACACGUAAAUAUAACACUUGAGUACAUAUAGUUGACGUGUCACGGAAGGGAAACGGGUGCUAUUAAGGCGACCAAGUCCCAGGGUAAUGCAUCACCAGUGAGAGAGGAAUGUGGUUACCAAUGUUGUGAGUAAUGAAGGAAAACAUAGAGAUGAUUGACGAAGCAUUUUCCCAGGGGCUUUCGUAAACAUUUGUUUGUGAGUGAAAAAAAAAUGCUGGAAGUCCAGUACUCUUUUUGCCAAGAGUCACGAAUAUAGAGAAUGGAAAAAUAUUGAAAAAGUAAAGUAUUGGCAGCUGUCAGUGUCUCCCAAUCACCCGAUCGGAAAUUAAAAGAACCGGGUGAUUUGUAAGGAACUUCACUGGUGUUCAUCGCUACAUGAUGCUCGGGCACGUUCAUCGUGUUAUCAGUAUGAAGAAUAGGGCUGUAACACACUACCAGAUAUUCCAAACACUCGUCAUCGACUUUACGAAGUUCCAGUGAUGGCUGCUUCAAAUUCGUACAUCGUAUGGCACAUGCUAACGCCUUUAGCGAAGCUCAACUUCACGGAACUUCGGAUAACAUCGGACAAAGGCAGAUGCUGCUGAUAUAACAGAACAACACUCCUUAAGAGUGUCAUCAGCAAGUUGGAAGCUCAACGUCAUGAGCAGUGAAGCCCCUUCAGACUUCCAUUGCAAACAGUUGUAUCAUAAUAUAAUUUAAUGCGUCUCUGACUUCUCCGGAAGAUCCUCUAUUGAUUAGACGAUACUCUCCAGCUGACAGGAAGAUCAGUCAGUAAUUUGACAUUGAAAAUUAAUCGCAAUUGAAUUUUUUAUAGAAAAUUUCUCUUCGUGUUCGACAGGACUCUUUCGAUCCUCCACUUCAUGAGGAACUCAAGAAUUAUGAAACGAGCAAUAAUAAUA